ACUCAAAUGAACGCUACAACCUUGUGAGACUUGAGCCUAAACGUUUAUUUGGAGAGUUAAUAAUCUGUGCAUCGUUGUUUUCUAAAGUCGUUGCAUGAUCUCAUUAUUCUUUUCUUGGUUGCUAUUUAGAAUGCGUUUCAUCAUUUAGUUCCAAAUACUAGAACUCAUGCCUAUUUCAUUCAAAACAUGCUAUUGAAUUGCAUAACACAUAUUCAAGAUGAAGUUGUGUAGUGACCACCACAGCCAAAUUGUCGUGCCCUAUUUCAUUAUGUGUUUAAGUUUAACCACGUUGAGCCUUUUGUAGCCUAUGUUCUUUGUUAACCCACACUAUCCUCACCUAGCCUAGAUUAGGACCAUCCAUACCCUUGUUCUUGAAGCAUAGUAAAACAUAAUUUAGAAGGAAUUCCUUUUGUUGAACUUUUGCAGAAAAACAAGUGUGGGGGAAGUGAUUCUUGUGUGUGUGUGUGUGUGUGUGUGUGUGUGCGUGCCAAAGUUCUUAAUAAGGCAUGGGUAGAAAAGAAAAGGAAAAAAAGAAACAUUCGUGGAAAAUAGAAUGAAAAGAAGAAAAGUUGUGAAAAGAGUGAAACAGAGUUGAAAAAUAUGUGAAAAAAGAGCUCUAAAGUGUUGUUUGUUGAAGAAAGGGUCCAAAACAUUGAAUUCGGCCCUAAGUGUUGCUUGAAUCUUCCCUUUGUGUUUAAAAGUUAAUUUCUGCAUUAUUAAGUGAAUUCCAAAUGUCUAUUUCAUUACUUUGCUUGCUAUUGCUUUCAGAACGUUUGUUAUCCUUAUCCUUUCUUUGUUAGCCAUUACCCUUAAACUCCGUUACAACCCUUAACUUUAUCUUGAGUGUUAUGCAUUUCAAUAUGUGGAGUUUGGAAUUGGUUUGAGCAUAUGGUGUCACUGGUUCUUGCAUCAAAGUAGUAGCAUUUCAUUCAUGAGAUCAUAUCUAAACAUGUUGAAUAACUCCAGAAAAUUGCCCUCUUUGUUAUACAUAUAUGUGAGUGUUCGUUUUCAUGUUUACAUCAAUCUUCUCACAUAUAACUAGUGUAAGGUGUGUAGUCAGAAAAUGUGUGGGAAAAUAGAGAGUAUCUUGUAAGGAAUUGAGUAAAUUCUCUAAGGCAUGUUACUACAUUCAAAACAUCGUUUUAAUUGGUUAAUUGUGAACUAGUAAGUGGUGACUAUAGGUAUGUGCUCAAGUGUAAGGAUGACUAAAAUCUGUGGGAAUGAUGAUUUUUAACUUGUCAUGUGCGUUGGAAAUCCCUAAGGCAAACGUUGGAAGGUUUAGGUUGUAUUUUGUUUUCUUUAUUUUGCUCGAGGACUAGCAAAAGCUAAGUGUGGGGGUAUUUCAUAAGCUCAUAUUUAUAUAUAUU
rnacentral:lncRNA from 1 species